rnacentral:rRNA from 1 species
GUCCACGCCGUAAACGAUGGGUACUAGGCGUCGGGGGGAGCGACCCUCCCGGUGCCGUCGCUAACGCAGUAAGUACCCCGCCUGGGGAGUACGGUCGCAAGACUGAAACUCAAAGGAAUUGACGGGGGCCCGCACAAGCGGUGGAGCAUGUGGUUUAAUUCGAAGCAACGCGAAGAACCUUACCUGGGCUUGACAUGCUGGUGAAAGCCGGUGGAAACAUCGGCCCCUCUUCGGAGCACCAGCACAGGUGCUGCAUGGCUGUCGU